rnacentral:tRNA from 4 species
GGCCCGUUGGUCAAGUGGUUAAGACACCGCCCUUUCACGGCGGUAACACGGGUUCGAAUCCCGUACGGGUCAUAC